GGUUAAGUGACUAAGCGUACACGGUGGAUGCCCUGGCAGUCAGAGGCGAUGAAGGACGUGCUAAUCUGCGAAAAGCGUCGGUAAGGUGAUAUGAACCGUUAUAACCGGCGAUGUCCGAAUGGGGAAACCCAGUGUGAUUCGUCACACUAUCGUUAACUGAAUACAUAGGUUAACGAGGCGAACCGGGGGAACUGAAACAUCUAAGUACCCCGAGGAAAAGAAAUCAACCGAGAUUCCCCCAGUAGCGGCGAGCGAACGGGGAGCAGCCCAGAGUCUGAAUCAGCUUGUGUGUUAGUGGAACGGUCUGGAAAGUCCGACGGUACAGGGUGAUAGUCCCGUACACCAAAAUGCACAGGUUGUGAACUCGAAGAGUAGGGCGGGACACGUGGUAUCCUGUCUGAAUAUGGGGGGACCAUCCUCCAAGGCUAAAUACUCCUGACUGACCGAUAGUGAACCAGUACCGUGAGGGAAAGGCGAAAAGAACCCCGGCGAGGGGAGUGAAAAAGAACCUGAAACCGUGUACGUACAAGCAGUGGGAGCACCUUCGGGUGUGACUGCGUACCUUUUGUAUAAUGGGUCAGCGACUUAUAUUCUGUAGCAAGGUUAACCGUAUAGGGGAGCCGCAGGGAAACCGAGUCUUAACUGGGCGUUAAGUUGCAGGGUAUAGACCCGAAACCCGGUGAUCUAGCCAUGGGCAGGUUGAAGGUUGGGUAACACUAACUGGAGGACCGAACCGACUAAUGUUGAAAAAUUAGCGGAUGACUUGUGGCUGGGGGUGAAAGGCCAAUCAAACCGGGAGAUAGCUGGUUCUCCCCGAAAGCUAUUUAGGUAGCGCCUCGUGAACUCAUCUUCGGGGGUAGAGCACUGUUUCGGCUAGGGGGUCAUCCCGACUUACCAACCCGAUGCAAACUACGAAUACCGAAGAAUGUUAUCACGGGAGACACACGGCGGGUGCUAACGUCCGUCGUGAAGAGGGAAACAACCCAGACCGCCAGCUAAGGUCCCAAAGUCAUGGUUAAGUGGGAAACGAUGUGGGAAGGCACAGACAGCCAGGAUGUUGGCUUAGAAGCAGCCAUCAUUUAAAGAAAGCGUAAUAGCUCACUGGUCGAGUCGGCCUGCGCGGAAGAUGUAACGGGGCUAAACCAUGCACCGAAGCUGCGGCAGCGACACUAUGUGUUGUUGGGUAGGGGAGCGUUCUGUAAGCCUGCGAAGGUGUGCUGUGAGGCAUGCUGGAGGUAUCAGAAGUGCGAAUGCUGACAUAAGUAACGAUAAAGCGGGUGAAAAGCCCGCUCGCCGGAAGACCAAGGGUUCCUGUCCAACGUUAAUCGGGGCAGGGUGAGUCGACCCCUAAGGCGAGGCCGAAAGGCGUAGUCGAUGGGAAACAGGUUAAUAUUCCUGUACUUGGUGUUACUGCGAAGGGGGGACGGAGAAGGCUAUGUUAGCCGGGCGACGGUUGUCCCGGUUUAAGCAUGUAGGCUGGUUAUCCAGGCAAAUCCGGAUAAUCAAGGCUGAGGUGUGAUGACGAGGCACUACGGUGCUGAAGUAACAAAUGCCCUGCUUCCAGGAAAAGCCUCUAAGCAUCAGGUAACAUCAAAUCGUACCCCAAACCGACACAGGUGGUCAGGUAGAGAAUACCAAGGCGCUUGAGAGAACUCGGGUGAAGGAACUAGGCAAAAUGGUGCCGUAACUUCGGGAGAAGGCACGCUGGUGUGUAGGUGAAGUCCCUGCGGAUGGAGCUGAGACCAGUCGAAGAUACCAGCUGGCUGCAACUGUUUAUUAAAAACACAGCACUGUGCAAACACGAAAGUGGACGUAUACGGUGUGACGCCUGCCCGGUGCCGGAAGGUUAAUUGAUGGGGUUAUCCGUAAGGAGAAGCUCUUGAUCGAAGCCCCGGUAAACGGCGGCCGUAACUAUAACGGUCCUAAGGUAGCGAAAUUCCUUGUCGGGUAAGUUCCGACCUGCACGAAUGGCGUAAUGAUGGCCAGGCUGUCUCCACCCGAGACUCAGUGAAAUUGAACUCGCUGUGAAGAUGCAGUGUACCCGCGGCAAGACGGAAAGACCCCGUGAACCUUUACUAUAGCUUGACACUGAACAUUGAGCCUUGAUGUGUAGGAUAGGUGGGAGGCUUUGAAGCGUGGACGCCAGUCUGCGUGGAGCCAACCUUGAAAUACCACCCUUUAAUGUUUGAUGUUCUAACGUUGGCCCCUUACCGGGGUUGCGGACAGUGUCUGGUGGGUAGUUUGACUGGGGCGGUCUCCUCCCAAAGCGUAACGGAGGAGCACGAAGGUUAGCUAAUCCUGGUCGGACAUCAGGAGGUUAGUGCAAUGGCAUAAGCUAGCUUGACUGCGAGCGUGACGGCGCGAGCAGGUGCGAAAGCAGGUCAUAGUGAUCCGGUGGUUCUGAAUGGAAGGGCCAUCGCUCAACGGAUAAAAGGUACUCCGGGGAUAACAGGCUGAUACCGCCCAAGAGUUCAUAUCGACGGCGGUGUUUGGCACCUCGAUGUCGGCUCAUCACAUCCUGGGGCUGAAGUAGGUCCCAAGGGUAUGGCUGUUCGCCAUUUAAAGUGGUACGCGAGCUGGGUUUAGAACGUCGUGAGACAGUUCGGUCCCUAUCUGCCGUGGGCGCUGGAGAAUUGAGGGGGGCUGCUCCUAGUACGAGAGGACCGGAGUGGACGCAUCACUGGUGUUCGGGUUGUCAUGCCAAUGGCACUGCCCGGUAGCUAAAUGCGGAAGAGAUAAGUGCUGAAAGCAUCUAAGCACGAAACUUGCCCCGAGAUGAGUUCUCCCUGAGACUUUAAGUCUCCUGAAGGAACGUUGAAGACGACGACGUUGAUAGGCCGGGUGUGUAAGCGCAGCGAUGCGUUGAGCUAACCGGUACUAAUGAACCGUGAGGCUUAACCUU
rnacentral:rRNA from 1 species